CCUACGGGCCGCACCAGUAGGGAAUCUUCCGCAAUGGACGAAAGUCUGACGGAGCAACGCCGCGUGAGUGAUGAAGGUUUUCGGAUCGUAAAGCUCUGUUGUUAGGGAAGAACAAGUACCGUUCGAAUAGGGCGGUACCUUGACGGUACCUAACCAGAAAGCCACGGCUAACUACGUGCCAGCAGCCGCGGUAAUAUGUAGGUGGCAAGCGUUGUCCGGAAUUAUUGGGCGUAAAGCGCGCGCAGGCUGAUAGAUAAGUCAGAGGUGAAAUCCCGGGGCUCAACCCCGGAAUUGCCUUUGAUACUGUUUAUCUUGAGUGCAGAAGAGGUAAGUGGAAUUCCGAGUGUAGAGGUGAAAUUCGUAGAUAUUGGGAAGAACACCGGUGGCGAAGGCAGCAACCUGGCUCGAUACUGACGCUGAGGCGCGAAAGCGUGGGGAGCAAACAGGAUUAGAUACCCGAGUAGUC
rnacentral:rRNA from 1 species